rnacentral:rRNA from 1 species
AGAGUUUGAUCCUGGCUCAGAUUGAACGCUGGCGGCAGGCCUAACACAUGCAAGUCGAGCGGCAGCACAGAGGAACUUGUUCCUUGGGUGGCGAGCGGCGGACGGGUGAGUAAUGCCUGGGAAAUUGCCCGGUAGAGGGGGAUAACCAUUGGAAACGAUGGCUAAUACCGCAUAACCUCGYAAGAGCAAAGCAGGGGACCUUCGGGCCUUGCGCUAYCGGAUAUGCCCAGGUGGGAUUAGCUAGUUGGUGAGGUAAGGGCUCACCAAGGCGACGAUCCCUAGCUGGUCUGAGAGGAUGAUCAGCCACACUGGAACUGAGACACGGUCCAGACUCCUACGGGAGGCAGCAGUGGGGAAUAUUGCACAAUGGGCGCAAGCCUGAUGCAGCCAUGCCGCGUGUAUGAAGAAGGCCUUCGGGUUGUAAAGUACUUUCAGUAGGGAGGAAGGUGGUUAAGUUAAUACCUUAAUCAUUGACGUACCUACAGAAGA